rnacentral:lncRNA from 1 species
AUGCGCUGGACCCUCGUGGCACGCACUGGACCCAUGUCUGACUUAUCAGACCCAUAUCUUACGUACCCUGACCCACACUGCAAACCCACCUGGACCCCCACCACACCCAGCAGUCCUGCUUCGCAGCCCUGGACCCACAGGACAUGCACUAGACCUACCCAGCAGCAUCAGCCACGCAUUGCAGUCACCAGACCUGCACUGCAUUCUCCAGACCCACAUCUCACACACCUGACCCACUUCACAUGCACCGGACCCUCCCUGCCCACCCCAGACUCACAUCCCAUGCACCAGAGCCUCCCUGCACGCCCCAGUCCUACAUCACAUGUACCAGACCCAUAUCUCAUGCACCAGAUCCUUGUCACAUGCAUCACACCCUCCCUGCAAGCACCAGACCCUCACUGCACAACCCAGACCCACAUCUCAUGCACCAGACCCUCCUUGCAUCCACCAAUCCCAUGUCACAUGGAUCAGACCCACAUUGCAUGCAUUAUAUUGUCCCUGCACACCCCAAACUCUCCCUGCAUGCCCCAAACCCACAUCUCACGCACCAGACUCUCCCUUCAAGCACCAGCUCCACAUCUGUUUGUGCAGCAUCCCAAAGUGUCUCCAGCAUCAUGGGGCGUUGCAGGAGCUGGGGCUGCUCUGCAAUUGACAUUUUGUUAUUUAAUGGCUUCAUGCUACAUCUUCAAAGGGACACAGGAACACCCGAGUGUGUUGAUGAGCUGGGUGCUGUGUUCUCUCCUCCCCACAAGGUCAGCGCUGUGGCUGUCACACAGAACCCAUUGCUGGGUGCCUGUUCUGCUUAUGAAAUCCCAGUAUUCCCAGCCUCUCUGGGCAACAGGCGUGCUGUGCAAUGACCUUGUGCCAGAAGAUGCAAAUCCUGGUGUGCAGGGGUCCCAGGAUGGGGUCAGAGGGGCAGUGCCCGUGCUCCCAUCUCGGAAGUGCUGCAGAGGGCUGAGGCAGGAGAUGUGCUGUGUGGUUAAACUAGGCCAUUCCAGCGGUGUGGAGAGCAGGGCUAAUCCCCCAGCAGCGCCGCCAUUCCCAGCCCUCGCUCAAGGUGGAUGCUGGUGA